UGGUGGAGUGAUUUGUCUGGUUAAUUCCGUUAACGAACGAGACCUUGACCGGCUAAAUAGUCGGGCAGUUUUCGAACUGUCUCAAUUCAAAGACUUCUUAGAGGGACUGUUGGUGUUUAACCAAAGUCAGUAAGGCAAUAACA
rnacentral:rRNA from 1 species